rnacentral:rRNA from 1 species
GAUGCGACCUCAGCUCAGGCGGGGCCACCCGCUGAGUUUAAGCAUAUCAAUAAGCGGAGA